rnacentral:lncRNA from 1 species
AUGGAGAGUUUUCUGCCUUCUCCAGUUUGUGCAAAGCCAGGAGCCCUUCAGACGUGUGUGCGCUCUUUUCUCUCCUUAGACACUGUGUGUGCUCCUUCUCCCUCAGACAUGGUGUGUGUGCUAACUUGUCCCUCAGACAUGGUGUGUGUGUGUCCUUCCCCCUCAGACAUGGUGUGUAUGCUUUUUCUCCCUCAGACAUGGUGUGUGUGUGCUCAUUCCUUCUCCCUCAGACAUGGUGUGUGUGUGAUCACUCCUUCUCCCUCAGAUAUGGUGCAUGUGUGUGUUAACUCUCCCUCAGACAUGGUGUGUGUGUGUCCUUCUCCCUCAGACAUGCUGUGUGCUCCUUCUCCCUCACACAUGGAGUGUGUGUGCUCCUUGUCCCUCAGACAUGGAGUGUGUGGGUCCUUCUCCCUCAGACAUG